ACUCCUACGRGAGGCAGCAGUGGGGAAUAUUGCACAAUGGGCGCAAGCCUGAUGCAGCGACGCCGCGUGGGGGAUGACGGCCUUCGGGUUGUAAACCUCUUUCACCAUCGACGAAGCCUUUGGGUGACGGUAGGUGGAGAAGAAGCACCGGCCAAYUACGUGCCAGCAGCCGCGGUAAUACGUAGGGUGCGAGCGUUGUCCGGAAUUACUGGGCGUAAAGAGCUCGUAGGUGGUCUGUCGCGUUGUUCGUGAAAUSCCACAGCUUAMCUGUGGGCGUGCGGGCGAUACGGGCAGACUGGAGUACUGCAGGGGAGACUGGAAUUCCUGGUGUAGCGGUGGAAUGCGCAGAUAUCAGGAGGAGCACCGGUGGSGAAGGCGGGUCUCUGGGCAGUAACUGACGCUGAGGAGCSAAASCGYGGGGAGCGAACAGGAUUAGAUACCCUGGUAGUCCACGCCGUAAACGGUGGGUACUAGGUGKGGGUUUCCUUCCUUGGGAUCCGUGCCGUAGCUAACGCAUUAAGUACCCCSCYUKGGGRGUACGGCCGCAAGGCUAAAACUCAAAGGAAUUGACGGWKGKUCG
rnacentral:rRNA from 1 species